UGUAAGAAAACCAAACCUGCUGCGAAGCAGGGACGGAAAGCCACGGGUCUUAAUAAGAUAGCCGAGUUGCCAUGA
rfam:Desulfopila aestuarii DSM 18488 genome assembly, contig: EJ45DRAFT_scaffold00002.2